ACGCGCUUGCCGCUGGCGUCUCGGCCAGAGAACUCCAUGCCCAGCAGACAGCUGCGGAGGGCCCACUUCCCUGGGGACAGACGGUGGGGGCCGGGGGGUGCUUGCCCCG